rnacentral:rRNA from 1 species
AUUGAACGCUGGCGGCAGGCCUAACACAUGCCAGUAGAACGAGUGGCGGACGGGUGAGUAAUGUCUGGAAAACUGCCUGCUGGAGGGGGAUAACUACUGGAAACGGUAGCUAAUACCGCAUACCAUCGGAUUGGCCCCGAGGGGACUAGCUAUUGGGUGGUUAAAAGGCUCACCUUGGCGACGAUCCCGAGCUGGUCUGAGAGGAUGACAAGCCACACUGGAACUGAUGCACGGUCCCGACUCCUGCAGGAGUCAGCGGUGGGGAAUAUUGCACAAUGGGCGCAAGCGUGAUGCAGCCAUGCCGCGUGUAUGAAGAAGGCCGUCGGGUUGUGAAGUACUUACAGCCGGGAGGGGUUAGCCGCAGAAGAAGCACCGGCUAACUCCGUGCCAGCAGCCGCGGUAAUAC